rnacentral:rRNA from 1 species
CACGUAAGGAAUCUACCUAUAAGCGGGGGAUAACAUUCGGAAACGGGUGCUAAUACCGCAUAAUAUCUUCUUCCGCAUGGAAGAAGAUUGAAAGACGGCUCUGCUGUCACUUAUAGAUGACCUUGCGGUGCAUUAGUUAGUUGGUGGGGUAACGGCCUACCAAGACGAUGAUGCAUAGCCGACCUGAGAGGGUGAUCGGCCACAUUGGGACUGAGACACGGCCCAAACUCCUACGGGAGGCAGCAGUAGGGAAUCUUCCGCAAUGGGCGAAAGCCUGACGGAGCAAUGCCGCGUGAGUGAAGAAGGCCUUCGGGUCGUAAAACUCUGUUAUAAGAGAAGAACAAAUUGUAGAGUAACUGCUACAGUCUUGACGGUAUCUUAUCAGAAAGCCACGGCUAACUACGUGCCAGCAGCCGCGGUAAUACGUAGGUGGCAAGCGUUGUCCGGAUUUAUUGGGCGUAAAGGGAGCGCAGGUGGUUUCUUAAGUCUGAUGUGAAAGCCCACGGCUUAACCGUGGAGGGUCAUUGGAAACUGGGAAACUUGAGUACAGAAGAGGAAUGUGGAACUCCAUGUGUAGCGGUGGAAUGCGUAGAUAUAUGGAAGAACACCAGUGGC